rnacentral:rRNA from 1 species
UUAAAUUGAAGAGUUUGAUCAUGGCUCAGAUUGAACGCUGGCGGCAGGCCUAACACAUGCAAGUCGAACGGUAACAGGAAGCAA